rnacentral:rRNA from 1 species
CCUACGGAGGGCAGCAGUGGGGAAUAUUGGACAAUGGGGGGAACCCUGAUCCAGCCAUGCCGCGUGUGUGAAGAAGGCCCUCGGGUUGUAAAGCACUUUCAGUGAGGAAGAACGCCUGGUGGUUAAUACCCAUCAGGAAAGACAUCACUCACAGAAGAAGCACCGGCUAACUCCGUGCCAGCAGCCGCGGUAAUACGGAGGGUGCGAGCGUUAAUCGGAAUUACUGGGCGUAAAGCGCGCGUAGGUGGCUUGAUAAGCCGGUUGUGAAAGCCCCGGGCUCAACCUGGGAACGGCAUCCGGAACUGUCAAGCUAGAGUGCAGGAGAGGAAGGUAGAAUUCCCGGUGUAGCGGUGAAAUGCGUAGAGAUCGGGAGGAAUACCAGUGGCGAAGGCGGCCUUCUGGACUGACACUGACACUGAGGUGCGAAAGCGUGGGUAGCAAACAGGAUUAGAUACCCGAGUAGUC